rnacentral:piRNA from 1 species
UACGAGACAGAUUUUAUACUUUAUUUCAAC